rnacentral:rRNA from 1 species
AUUGAACGCUGGCGGCAGGCCUAACACAUGCAAGUCGAACGAGUGGCGGACGGGUGAGUAAUGUCUGGGAAACUGCCUGAUGGAGGGGGAUAACUACUGGAAACGGUAGCUAAUACCGCAUACCCUCGGAUGUGCCCAGAUGGGAUUAGCUAGUCGGUGGGGUAAAGGCGCACCUAGGCGACGAUCCCUAGCUGGUCUGAGAGGAUGACAAGCCACACUGGAACGGAGACACGUGCCAGACUCCUACGGGAGGAAGCAGUGGGGAAUAUUGCACAAUGGGCGCAAGCCUGAUGCAGCCAUGCCGCGUGUAUGAAGAAGGCCUUCGGGUUGUAAAGUACUUUCAGCGGGGAGGCGGUACCCGAAGAAGAAGCACCGGCUAACUCCGUGCCAGCAGCCGCGGUAAUAC